AUUCAAAUUUGAUUUGAUUUGUAGAUUUGUUUGACAUUUUGUGACCAAAUAGUAACUUGAACUUUAUUACUGAGGCUGCUAAACAUACCAGAUUUGCGAUGGACCAAUUCAAAACCAUGAAGGAAGCCACUGAGUCAUAGAUAGGACCUACUUGUGUUAUGGCAAUUGGUUACAAUGGAUUCCUCUGGUUAUCUGAAGAAUUAGUGAGGAUAAUAAUUAGUGUGAAAUUUGGUCUGGGGGCUUGAGUGCAGCAUGAGCUUUAAACCAUUUUCAUGUUUGUUGAGUAUGACUUGGGGAACAUGGAACCCUACAUGUUCUAUUGUUGUCACACGCACCAGCAUCAAGCAUGGAUGAUGCGUAUGAGGAUCAGGAUGAAUGAUCAUUAGUUCAGGAUUAAGAUUUUUAAGAUGAAAGCAUUCCUG
rnacentral:lncRNA from 1 species